AGAGAUGAGAGACUAUUCUGGUUCAUUCUGGCGAGCUCCAUGAAGACGACGCGAGCAGCUCUACAAUGGAUGACGUAGCUGAAGACCCAAUCCCUUCGAAGGCUUGACGCGUCGUUACCUUCGCGACCCAGAGGCGGAGUUCAUACAGAGGAUGGAGAGAUCGCCGUCGCCGCCGCCGUCGCCGCCGCCGUGCGAAGGCUCGAGGGAGCUCCAGUGCGUGGGCAAGCUGGAGAUCGUCAACCCCAAGCCCGUCGGCUUCCUCUGCGGCUCCAUCCCCGUCCUCACCGACAAUGCCUUUCGUCACGCCUUCGACUCCGCCCUCGUCCCCUCUCGCCAAACGGUGAGCGCUCCGCGGUAUCAGAUGCUUCCGACGGAGACCGACCUCAAGAGGCCUCCCGUCGCUCCGAAUUCUUCCGAGAAGUUGCUCCCCACCGGUGCACUGUUGUCGAGGAUGGCCGCUGGAGAUUUACCUUGGGAAGACAGUGCCAUCACAUCAAACUUUAGUAGGAAAUGUGAAGCGCUUGCUGUAUCUGGCUUGGUAGAAUAUGGUGAUGAGAUCGAUGUGAUCGCUCCUGCAGAUAUAUUGAAGCAGAUAUUUAAGAUGCCUUAUUCAAAAGCUCGUUUGUCCAUUGCUGUCCAUCGUAUCGGGCAAACUCUUGUUCUCAACAUGGGGCCUGAUGUGGAAGAGGGAGAGAAGUUGAUUAAAAGGCAUAGUCAAUCACAAUGUGCAGAACAGGCAUUAUUUCUUAAUUUUGCCAUGCAUUCAGUUAGAAUGGAGGCUUGUGAUUGUCCAACAUAUAAUGCUGCAUCAUCAAAGGACCAAUUGGAUUCUUCUGUUCUUCCUGGGAUAGAUACUUCCAACAUUUUUGGUCUGCAUGAUGACAUUGCUGACAAAGAGCAAUCAAGACAAAGCUCAGAGUAUCCACAAAUAAAACAGAGUGGUUUCAUAUGGGAAAGUAAGUCCAAGAGGAAUAAAAGGCGCGAUCCUGUCAAAAAGACGACACAAGUUAGUGAAAAGAACCGACAUGCGGUGCAAGAGUCUGACAGGCAUAGAAGAGCUGUGAAUGAUGGAUUUUUGAGGGUCUUGUUUUGGCAAUUUCACAAUUUCCGUAUGCUUCUGGGCAGUGACUUGCUUCUCUUUAGUAAUGAAAAAUAUCUUGCUGUGAGUCUGCAUCUGUGGGACAUUACAAGACAGGUCACUCCAUUGACUUGGCUUGAAGCCUGGCUUGAUAAUAUCAUGGCUAGUGUGCCGGAAUUGGCUAUUUGUUAUCAUCAGAAUGGAGUGGUUCAGGGCUAUGAGCUUCUUAAGACAGAAGACAUCUUUCUAUUGAAAGGCAUCUCUGAGGAUGGCACUCCUGCUUUUAACCCUCAUGUUGUCCAGCAAAAUGGCCUUUCUGUAUUGAGGUUCCUUCAAGAGAACUGCAAGCAAGAUCCUGGGUCAUACUGGCUGUACAAAGGUGCUGGCGAAGAUGUAAUUCAACUUUUUGAUCUUGCUGUUAUCCCUAAGAAUCACUCUUCUGACAAUAGCGAUGAUAGCUCAAGCUCUUUGCCUUCACCAAUGCAUAGAGGAAGAAGCGACUCUUUGUUCUCACUGGGCACUCUGCUUUACCGCAUUGCUCAUAGACUUUCCUUAUCAGUGACUCCAAAAGAUAAGGCAAAAUGUGCAAGCUUCAUUAGGAAGUGCUUGGAAUUACUGGAUGAGCCAGAUCAGCUUGUUGUACGCGCUCUUGCUCAUGAACAAUAUGCCAGACUUAUUUUGAACAAUGAUGAUGAGGAUGUUGAUUUGGCAUCUGAAUCUGUCCCAGAAGAAUGUGAAGUUACAGUUAUGGAUGUUGAAGAAGAAUCUCGGAAUUUUUUAAGAAGCAUUUCUGACUCUUUUGUCCAGGACGAUAAGCCCUCUUUUGUUUUAGAAGAAAAGCCUAGUGAAGUACAAAAGGAACUUCAAAAUUUAGCAUCAGAAGCAUCAUUGAAUAUGUCUUUAGAGGCUAGUACAUCUGCUUCUGGAAAAUUGGUGACAUCAUCUGACACUGAGAAGACAGUUUCAGAAGGAGGUGUCUCUAGUUCUGGAUGCGGUGAUCACUUUGCAAUCUGCCAAGUGUCCCCUGUAUCUACACAAGUAAUUCAAACUGUUGCAGAUCCUAUCUCCUUCAAGCUGGCUGCAAUACAUCAUGUUUCUCAAGCUAUUAAGUCACUGAGAGGAAUGCGCCAAUUGCAAAGUGACGAGGCAGAGCUGGUUGACUGUGGCAGUGGAGCUGCUGAUGGAGCUCCCUUGCCUACGAACUUCUCUGUUUGUGCAUGUGGUGAUGCUGAUUGUAUUGAAGUUUGUGAUAUUCGUGAUUGGCUGCCUACAUCAAAAUUGGAUCAUAAGCUGUGGAAACUUAUUCUGUUACUUGGAGAAUCUUACUUGGCACUUGCACAAGCUUAUAAAGAGGAAGGUGAGUUGCUUCAAGCAUUGAAGGUUGUAGAAUUAGCUUGUUCAGUCUAUGGGUCAAUGCCCCAACAUCUUAAAGAUACAAGAUUUGUUUCCUCAAUUGUUAGUUGUUCAACAUCCUUGUCGAUGCUUAAUGACAAAAAUGGAAGGACAAAAUCAAAGUUUGAUGCUGGUGAAAAUCUUAUAUCCACCACAGACGAUGAUCAUUUUACUUCUGAGCAAUUCUCCUUCACUUACCUCUUUUGGGCCAAGGCUUGGACUUUGGUUGGAGAUAUAUAUGUUGAGUUCCACAUGAUAAAGGGCAAAGAGGUUUCAAUUCAAACAGCUGAGAAACGGACCAUGAAAGAGCUGAGAAUGUCAUCUGAGGUUGUGAAGGAAGUCAAAAGGCUCAAGAAGAAGUUGGGACAACUUAAGCAGAACUGCAGUUUGUGCUCCCUGGUGAAUUGCAGCUGUCAAAGUGAUAGGGCUAGCAGUGGUAGCAGCGCAAGCAGUAGCACUGGAGAUUCACAUAUGAUGGCUCAUUGCAGAAGAUCGGGAAGAAAGUCGCAUGGUAGGCGAAGCUCUUUUUCAAAUUUUGUAGACACUGAAAAUGAAAGCACUCUCCAGAAUGUGGACAAGGGUAGGCGGAAAAAGAAAAAUACUGGCCCUGUAUCAGAAACUUUUAAUAUAGCUAGAGGCACUGUGGAUUUGGAUUCUUCAGUUGCUACUGUUUCUAAUAACGGUGAAGAUUCUUCCGAAAAGCAUGCUGUUGCAUCUGAAGUGGCUUCUGAAACAGGCUCAUCUUGGAAAGAAGUACCUAUAAAGAAAACGGGUGGAAUAUUUGGAUAUAUCGUGGGUGCUGCAGCUGGAGAAACAGACAGCAAUCUUUUAUCUGCUCUAAGCUGCUAUGAAAAAGCUAGAAAUGCAUUAGGUGGAGUUCCGGCUAGCUCAGUGGAACUUCAAUCUAUUAUGAAAAAGAAAGGAUGGGUUUGCAAUGAAAUAGGUAGAAACAUGCUGGAGAGGAAAGAGUUGAGUGAAGCUGAGGUUGCUUUUGCUGAUGCUAUAAAUGCAUUUAGAGAUGUCUCUGACCAUACCAACAUCAUACUAAUUAAUUGCAAUCUGGGUCAUGGAAGACGGGCAUUAGCUGAAGAGAUGGUUGCUAAAAUUGGACAUCUUAAAUCGCUUCCAGCUUUUCAUGAUUCAUACAAGCAGGCAUUGGUAACUGCAAAGCAUGAAUAUUGCGAAGCUCUUAAAUUUUAUGGGGCAGCAAAGUCAGAGCUCAGGGUUGUGGAGGAACAUGAAGAUUCUAUUUCUGAAAGCUUGAAAAAUGAGGUGUAUACACAGUAUGCCCACACUUAUCUGAGGCUCGGUAUGUUUUUGGCUGGAGAAGACACAACUGCUGACGUGUAUGAAACUGCAGCCUUGGAGGAAAUUUCACUUGCUGGCUCUAGUUAUAGUCCUAGAAGACCUAAAGAUUUGAUCUUGAGAAAGCACGAAAUCACAGCAAAUGAGGCCAUUAGAGAGGCGUUGUCUGUGUAUGAAUCGUUGGGUGAGGUGCGUAAACAGGAGGCUGCAUAUGCAUAUUUCCAGCUUGCUUGCUACCAGAGAGACUGCUGCUUGAAAUUUCAAAAUUCAAUUCAUAAGAAAGGAUUCUCUAAAGGUGAGAAUAGCAUUCUCCAGCGAGUGAAACAGUAUGCUUCAUUGGCUGAGCGGAACUGGCAGAAAGCAACUGAUUUUUAUGGUCCCCAGACCCAUCCAGCCAUGUACCUCACCAUAAUGAUGGAGAGAUCAGAUCUUUCAUCGACCCUCUCAAGUUCAUUGCACUCAAAUGCGAUGCUGGAAGCAUCUGUGUCUCGGCUACUAGAUGGCCGUCAAAUAUCUGAAACAGCCUCAGAUGCUCUGAAGGCCAGUCACCCUGAAAUACAUGCCAAAUUUUGGAGCCAGUUUCAGAUGCUUUUGAAGAAUAUGCUGGCGUCAACACUUGCUGCAAGUAGCAGCAAGUCUCCCUCGCAUGCAGUUUCAAUACCCAGCAAGCCUGGAGAUGCCGUGAAGCUCAAAGAACUUUAUAAAAUGUCCUUGAAGUCCACUGAGUUCAGCCAGCUGCAUGUCAUGCACUCCCUGUGGAUAUCUUGACUUGACCUGAAUUUGCAUUUUGUGAUGCUUCCAUGAAACACGUGCAUCUUAACAGGAACAACAGAACUGGGCAAGGUCUUAUAAUUGCAUCUUGAGGGCGCUUUUAAAUGAAGGGCUGGAGAAGGGGAAUAUCGACCCACUAUAAAGAAUGUGAGCAACAUAGCCCAAAAAAGAACACAAGCCCCUAGCCUCUUCUGCUCAGAAAGAUGGAGGGAGGGAUGUAUCCAUGGCAUUGCUGUCAAUUUUGAAGGUAAAACUAAAACCAACCUUGGAGGGGCGAAAUUCUGAACAGUGGGUUUCUAUGAAUUGAUCCGUCGUGCUUAAAUGCGUCGUAUCUUAAUGUAUCUUAUAAUAAUUCUCAUACAUAACGUAACACCACACAAAUAUGUAUUCUCUUAUAACCACUGGGAUUCGUCCCAGUGGCCGCCCUUCCAACA